GAUUUCUGACGAACCGGAGUGGCCCGUUUCCUUUUCGGGGAUGAGUGCCGCUUUGAGUUUGUCAUCCUUCCAGAGAGCUGCGUCUACCGUUUACUCGGCCGGAUGUAUGCGAUCUGGAUCUAUUACUUUGAAAAAAUUAGAGUGUUUAAAGCAGGCUUAUGCUGUGAAUACAUUAGCAUGGAAUAAUAAUUUAGGACUUUGGUCUUAUUUUGUUGGUUUCUAGGACUAAAGUAAUGAUUGAUAGGGACAGUUGGGGGUGCUAGUAUUCAGCGGCCAGAGGUGAAAUUCUUGGAUUCGCUGAAGACUAACUUAUGCGAAAGCAUU
rnacentral:rRNA from 1 species